rnacentral:rRNA from 1 species
AUGGCCACCGGCGCGUCGCGGUACGGCGCCACAGCGGAAUCUGUGGACUUCGUGUUCGGGGCCGAGCAGGCGAGGCGGCGCGUGAACGCCUUCGUGGCUGACGCGACGAAGCAGCUCAUCCCCGAGAUCCUCCCUCGCGGCUCCGUCGACUCCGACACGGUGGUGGUCCUUGCCAACGCGGUCUACUUCAAAGGAGCUUGGUCCCAGCCGUUCGACGUCUUCACCGCGCCGUUCCACAUCCCGGGCGGCAGCACCGUGGGCGUGCCGUCCAUGAAGACAGACCAGUCACAGUACAUCGCGCUCUACCACGGCUUCAGGGCCCUGAAGCUGCCCUACAAGAACGAUGUGCAGCAGCAAGCUGCAUUCUACAUGCUUAUCCUUCUCCCGGACAGCGACACUCUCAGUCUCGCCGAUCUCUACGACAAGGCGGUGUCGAUGCCGGAGUUCGUCAAGAAGCACACGUCCGCAAGGAAGGUUCCAGUCGGACAGUUCAUGGUCCCCAAGUUCAAGUUCACGUUCGAGUUCGAAGCGUCGUCGGACAUGCAGAAGCUUGGUGUCACCAGGGCUUUCAAUACCGGCAACUUCUCAGGCAUGGUGAGUGGCGGGGAUGAGCUCUCCAUCACCGGGGUGUACCAUAAGGCCACCAUCGAGGUGGACGAGCUAGGCACCGUGGCCGCUGCAGCCACGGCCAUCGUAUUUGGGACUACUAGUGUGGGUCCAAGGGCACUGAUGGAUUUUGUGGCGGAUCGGCCCUUCUUAUUUGCCGUGGUUGAGGAGAGGACAAGCACGGUGUUGUUCCUGGGUCAUGUUGUUAAUCCUCAACUGGGCUAA